AUACGUAGGUGGCAAGCGUUGUCCGGUAUUUAGUUGGGCGUAAAGCGAGCGCAGGCGGUUUUUUAAGUCUGAUGUGAAAGCCUUCGGCUCAACCGAAGAAGUGCAUCGGAAACUGGGAAACUUGAGUGCAGAAGAGGACAGUGGAACUCCAUGUGUAGCGGUGAAAUGCGUAGAUAUAUGGGAGAACACCAGUGGCGAAGGCGGCUGUCUAGUCUGUAACUGACGCUGAGGCUCGAAAGCAUGGGUAGC
rnacentral:rRNA from 1 species